GACGAACGCUGGCGGCGUGCCUAACUCAUGCAAGUCGAGCGGGAACCUCAGGAGGGGUAACCCUCCUGAGGGGAGAGCGGCGAACGGGUGAGGAACACGUGGGCAACCUGCCCCGGACACCGGGAUAACCCAGGGAAACCUAAGCUAAUACCGGCUACUCCGGCGAGAUCGCACGGCCGCGCCGGGAAAGCUCCGACGGUCCGGGAUGGGCCGGAGGCCUAUCAGCUUGUUGGUGGGGUAACGCCCCACCCAGGCGACGGCGGGUAGCUGGUCUGAGAGGACGGGCAGCCACACUGGGACUGAGACACGGCCCAGACUCCUACGGGAGGCAGCAGUGGGGGAUCUUGCGCUAAUGCGCGAAAGCGUGACGCAGCGACGCCGCGUGGGGGAUGAAGGCCCUCGGGUUGUAAACCCCUUUCGGCAGGGACGAAGCGAAAGUGACGGUACCUGCAGAAGAAGUCCCGGCUAACUACGUGCCAGCCGCCGCAGUAAAAC
rnacentral:rRNA from 1 species